rnacentral:rRNA from 1 species
GUGAGGAAUUUUCCGCAAUGGGCGAAAGCCUGACGGAGCAAUGCCGCGUGAAGGAUAAGGUCUUCGGAUUGUAAACUCCUGUCAUGCGUGAACAAGGUUGCUUGGUUAAUACCUGGGCAAAUUGAUGGUAACGCAAGAGGAAGAGACGGCUAACUCUGUGCCAGCAGCCGCGGUAAUACAGAGGUCUCAAGCGUUGUUCGGAAUCACUGGGCGUAAAGGGUGCGUAGGUGGCGUGGUAAGUCAGAUGUGAAAGCCCGGGGCUCAACCUCGGAACUGCAUCCGAUACUGCCAUGCUAGAGUACUGGAGAGGUGACUAGAAUUCUCGGUGUAGCAGUGAAAUGCGUAGAUAUCGAGAGGAAUACCAAAGGCGUAGGCAGGUCACUGGACAGUUACUGACACUGAGGCACGAAGGCCAGGGGAGCGAACGGGAUUAGAAACCCGUGUAGUCC